GGCCUACCUUAACAUUGAUAGCUCAAUACACCCGCUAUUCGCCUGGAAACUACGAGCAUCAGCUUAAAACCCAAAGGACUUGGCGGUGCUUUAGAUCCACCUAGAGGAGCCUGUUCUAGAACCGAUAACCCCCGUUCAACCUCACCUCUCCUUGCUUUUUCCGUCUAUAUACCGCCGCCGUCAGCUUACCCUGUGAAGGGUAAAUAGUAAGCAAAAUUGGCACAACCCAAAACGUCAGGUCGAGGUGUAGCUUAUGGAGAGGGAAGAAAUGGGCUACAUUCAUUAACUUUAAUGAAUACGAAAGACGAACUGAAAUGUCUGUCCGAAGGAGGAUUUAGAAGUAAGCGGGAAACAGAGUGUCCCCCUGAAAUUGGCUCUAAAGCACGCACACACCGCCCGUCAC
rnacentral:rRNA from 1 species